UUAAUACUCCCUCCUCCCAAAAUUAUUGUUUUAGAUUUGUCUAAAUACGGAUGUAUCAAGUCACGUUUUAGUAUUAGAUACAUCCGUAUCUAAGCAAAUCUAAGACAAGAAUUUUGGGGCGGAGGAAGUAACUU
rfam:Triticum aestivum genome assembly, contig: Triticum_aestivum_CS42_TGACv1_scaffold_030927_1BL